AAAUGAAAAUAAGAAAAACAAGAAUGUGUCCACAGUACACGGAUGCCCCACUCACACUAUCAUUUUCUAUGUUUAAAGGACUGUGAAAUUGGAAUAAAUUCUCUAAUUUGGCAUUAAAAUUAGAAUGAUCUUAUCAAAGGGAACAUGUAUACUAAGUUUCAAGUUGAUUGGACUUCUACUUUAUCAAAAACUACCUUGACCAAAAACUUUAACCUGAAAUUUGCACUAUCAUUUUCUAUGUUCAGUGAACCGUAAAAUUGGGGUCAAAACUCUAAUUUGGCAUUUAAAUUAGAAAGAUCAUAUCAUAGGGCACAUGUAUACUAAGUUUCAAGUUGAUUGGACUUAAACUUCAUCAAAAACUACCUUGACCAAAAACUUUAACCUGAAGCCAAAAACUUUAACCUGAAAUUUGCACUAUCAUUUUCUAUGUUCAGUGAACCGUAAAAUUGGGGUCAAAACUCUAAUUUGGCAUUUAAAUUAGAAAGAUCAUAUCAUAGGGCACAUGUAUACUAAGUUUCAAGUUGAUUGGACUUCAACUUCAUCAAAAACUACCUUGACCAAAAACUUUAACCUGAAGCCAAAAACUUUAACCUGAAAAUUUGCACUAUCAUUUUCUAUGUUCAGUGAACCGUAAAAUUGGGGUCAAAACUCUAAUUUGGCAUUUAAAUUAGAAAGAUCAUAUCAUAGGGCACAUGUAUACUAAGUUUCAAGUUGAUUGGACUUCAACUUCAUCAAAAACUACCUUGACCAAAAACUUUAACCUGAAGCCAAAAACUUUAACCUGAAAUUUGCACUAUCAUUUUCUAUCAGUGAACCGUAAAAUUGGGGUAAAAUCUCUAAUUUGGCAUUAAAAUUAGAAAGAUCAUAUCAUAGGGAACAUGUGUACCAAGUUUGAAGUCGAUUGGACUUCAACUUCAUCAAAAACUACCUCGACCAAAAACUUUAACCUGAAGCGGGACAGACGGACGAACGGACGAACGAACGGACGAACGAACGGACGAACGGACGCACAGACCAGAAAACAUAAUGCCCCUCUACUAUCGUAGGUGGGGCAUAAAAAUUCCUA
rnacentral:lncRNA from 1 species